CUGCAGUUUUUUAGGACCGAGACUGACAUGAUUAGGGCCUGUAGCAUAGAGGUUGGGAUUUUUGGACAGAGUAUACAGAGUUAUCACAUCUGCCCAUGAAGAGAUCUCCCUUGUGAGGAAGGAGAUAGCUGACGGAACUGACAGAGAAACCGGCUGCUCAAAGGAAAUAUCAUUUGAGGCAAGGAACCAAACAGAACGAAAACCAACAGGUGGGGUUGUUCCAGCAAGUAACGAUACAAGUUUCCAUUGGGACGAUGGCGGCUUCGGUUUCAGCUUGGGCGGGCAUAACCAAUCAAUCAAAAGGACUAAAUGGGUGCAGCAAGCCUGCGGUGCUGGAGAACGAAGAAACGCCUCACACCGCAUCAACAACAACAUAUGAAGCUCGAUCUAUGCUCUGAACUUUAAUCUUACCCGGGCAGGAGGAUGACAUGGAUCUCUUUCUCAUUUUCUGUCUAGUUCACUAUCCUGUGAAGGAACCCAUAUGGUUUUGUAAUACUAGUAUACUACUAUCAGGUUGUGGGAAAUGCUUGCAGGCGAAGGUUGGUCUCUUCUGUUAUGCGGCGUCGUAAA